CCACCUUUGACAUGUACGGAAGAUCGCAGAGACGCAAUUGUGCUCGAAAGAGAGCCGUAACACAGGUGCUGCAUGGCUGUCGUCAGCUCGUGUCGUGAGAUGUUGGGUUAAGUCCCGCAACGAGCGCAACCCUUGCCAUUAGUUGCUACAUUUAGUUGGGCACUCUAAUGGGACUGCCGGUGACAAACCGGAGGAAGGUGGGGAUGACGUCAAGUCCUCAUGGCCCUUAUAGGUGGGGCUACACACGUCAUACAAUGGCUGGUACAAAGGGUUGCCAACCCGCGAGGGGGAGCUAAUCCCAUAAAGCCAGUCGUAGUCCGGAUCGUAGUCUGCAACUCGACUACGUGAAGUCGGAAUCGCUAGUAAUCGUGGAUCAGAAUGUCACGGUGAAUACGUUCC
rnacentral:rRNA from 1 species